rnacentral:rRNA from 1 species
AGACGAACCGGACAAACGUUAUUCGGAAUCAUUGGGCUUAAAGGGUGCGUAGGCGGUGCGGAAAGUUGGGUGUGAAAUCCCUCGGCUCAACCGAGGAACUGCGCUCAAAACUUCCGUGCUAGAGUGAGACAGAGGUGAGCGGAACUGAUGGUGGGGCGGUGAAAUGCGUUGAUAUCAUCAGGAACACCGGUGGCGAAGGCGGCUCACUGGGUCUCUACUGACGCUGAGGCACGAAAGCUAAGGUAGCGAACAGGAUUAGAAACCCGUGUAGUCC